rnacentral:sRNA from 1 species
AAAAGCUACUCAUACAAUUAACUCUAAAAAGAAUAGAGCACUCGAUUAGAUGGAGCCAAUGUCACUUCCAUUUCACUUCAAGUGGUACAGAGUCUUUUUUUUUUUUUUUUUUUUUUUGUUAAACCUUGCUUUCAUUCAAUGGAACAUAGAACAAUUACAAGAAAUAGAGUUUAAGAACUCAAAGAUUAAAGCAUUACAACAAACGGUAUUCCCCAAUACCAUAAAAAGAAAGAUAAAGUGCAUCGAUUUGAAUUCCAUGAGAGCUUUGAGGCAUAAGCAAAGAAGCACAGUGCAACAUGUGAGGUCACAGUAAAUCGAAGGAUCAUCCUCGAAAUAGUCGAAGGACAACAGGUUGGUCACGGUCAAGGGACGUAGUGACGUUGACAAAGACAUCGAAGCUAUAGAUCUCACCGGGGCUAGCUGCAAUACCCACGGAAAAAGGAUAGCAAGGAUUCGAAGGACUAUGGUUCUAUAGUCGGUUAAGGUUAGCUUUAGGAUCCAACACAAAAGGCAAACAAAUCUCCGAUCAAUAGCGGCAUACACUAUGAGACAAUGAAACAUGAUGAUGGACAUAGUGAUGAGCUUGAAGGCGAUAGAUGAGCUACUUGGUGACCAUUGAGCGAUGAAAACCCAUAAUUCAAAGCCACAUUUGACACAAAGGCAAGUACAAUUCAGAAAAAUUAGAGAGAAGGUCUUCAAGACUUUGGAAUGAGGCCACACAUUCCUAGAUAUAGCUAAAACCAGGAUUCGCAAAUGAUAAAUGAAGAACCAAAACCUCCAU